UAUUAUUGAUUGUGUAAAUUAAAAUAUUAGAGUAGUAAUAGAUAAGUUCUUGAAACUCAAAGAAUUUGGCGGUGUUUUAGUCCUUUCAGAGGAAUCUGUCCUGUAAUUGAUAAUACACGAUUUAUUUUACUUAAUUUUGUUAUCAGUUUAUAUACCGCCGUCAGUAAGAUUAUCUUGUGGAGGGUAUUAAAUUUCAUUAUAUUUUAUUAAAUAUUAUGUCAGGUCAAGGUGUAGCUUAUAAUUAAGUAGAGAUGGAUUACAAUAAAUUUAUUUUUGGAUAGUAAUUUUGAAAUUUGUAUUUGAAAUUGGAUUUGAUUGUAAAUUAAUAUAAAUUGAUUUAUUGAUUUGGGCUCUAGAAUGUGUACAUAUCGCCCGUCGCUCUCGUUUUAAGAUGAG
rnacentral:rRNA from 1 species